GCUAACUGUUUUCUGAGUAUUACUUCUUCUGGAAACAAUUCCCAUAGGUACCACAGAAUAAUCAAGUUAGCUGUUAAAACAGGAGGGGAAACCCUCAGGAGAGGGUGCCUGCAAAGAGCCAUCUCCUGGUUAGGGGCUGGAAACUCCUGACUGCUCACAUGCAUUAUAUGAAGGCACAUCAAGCCAAAAGAAUGUGAAACAAAAACCCCAUAAGGAAGAAUUAGAUAGUCUAGAUUAAUGCAAAUUACUUAAAAAAGGUAAGAGCUUAAAACAGGUGUUCUUAUUUUAGUACAAAAGCAGUAUUUAUAGUACAGAACUUUAGAAAAAUGUCCAAAAAUGGACAGCAAUCCUCUCAAGCCCUGAACCACUGACAAUAACUGCACAAGAGAACAUCACUGUCUGCAGAAAUGUAAACUGGUAUUGGAGCUACACUGAGAACAAACUUCUAACUGCCUACCGAAAAAACACUCAAAGCACACAGACCUCUCUAAACCAUCCCUCAUCUGCAGGAACCUCACAUCUCCAUGUUUUUAUGAAAACACCAAUACCUCACUGCCAAGGCCCCUCAGGGAUGAGUAUUGGAGUUUUAAGUCACAGAGUAUUUACAAGAGAUCAUAACAGGUGUGGGAAUGCAACUGAAGAAACAUUAAGGAUAAUAACCCAAGUCCACACAUAGUCUAGAUGAUCGUAACUCUCAGGUUUAAAACCACCAUGGAACAUGGGGAGCUGCUCAGUGAACUAAAGACUAAAACUUCAUAUAUCAAUAAAUACUACCUCUCUGCUUGGCUACACAUGCUUUACAGAGGCUUAAAAUGACAAAGCAGAGCUUGCUGGCAGAUUGAAACAAAUGAAGAUAAGUCAGUGGAAUGCUCUGAACUGCACUUGAGGAAGCAAACUGCCUCUUAUUCAGCAAAGUGCAGAAGGAUGCCUGCAGGACUGAGACAAGGCCCUGCAGCCUGGAACUGCAUUUACCCUUCAGGAGGAGGGUAGGAGCCAAAGGAACUUUCCAGGUUCCUCCAUUAUCCCAACCUCUCCUGUUGGCCUGCCUCAGGACCUCUGCAAAAGGCAUUCUGGCCUUGGCAAAUCCCAUCCCACAGGGAACCUCCUGAGGCAUUGGCUGGAAAAGGCCAAAUGUCCGCCUUGGUGUUAAGGAUAUGUGGUUAUCUUACCUGAAAGUAUUGCAGAGUGAAAAUCUUCCUUCUAAGCCUAAACAGUAUUAAUGAGUGAAAGUAAAACCACAUGGGCUUUGUAUCUUUUUAUCUAUUUUACCUGCUUGUACUUCAACUCCCUGGACUAUAGAACAGCUACUGUGGAGCUUGCAUGUUGUUGUGGAGCCUUUUAUACACAAAUAAGAAUUAAUUUCAAAGACACUUCUGAUUUCAUA